UAACCGUGCGUACAACUGCUCUCAAACCAAGACCUAUAGGCAGUAUAAUACUUCGUCUUUCAUAUCCGAAAGUAAAGGGAUUUUCGGAAAUAAGUUUCGCUU
rnacentral:ncRNA from 1 species